rnacentral:lncRNA from 1 species
UAUCAAAUUCCAAAUGUUUGAUCGAAAAGGUAAUCUUUUUCUUUCCUUUUUCCAAUCAGCAAUCCCUACACUUGACUGUUUUGGCCAGCAGCCAGAUCAUGUUCAGAAGUUUUCUCUGUGCCCUUCAAGAACCUGCCUAUCUUAUUGAUGUUUCACAAGUCUUGAACUUGUGCUGAACCAAUCACACACACACAAAUCAAAUUCAACUUUUUGAAAGCUAUAGCUGUCUCAAUUAUACUCCCUUGUAGAGCUAUCAGAUCUCAAAUAGUAGAAUCUAGCUUAUUUGUAAAAUUUACAAAAAAAUGAUUUCAUGUAACUUGUAUAGUUCUAGAAUAAAUUUCAUAUCCAUACUCUUGAGUGUGCAUAAGGGCAUUGAUUCCCUUGAAAGAUGUAAAACUGAUUGGUCCUAGUAUUGAUGUAAAAAUGUUCUUUGGAAGUUAGCAUCGGAAUAAGCAUGAUUAGAUGGAAGUGCCACUAUUUUUCCAUCUGUACAAACAUUGAACUUCUUCAAAAAGCAUCCUCCUUUUCUUUUUCAUCAAGCAAGGUAUCCCUUUUUCCCUUUCUGCAAUCCAAUACAGAAUAUCAAAAGGAUCUGGUUUAUGAGUUUGCAGUACCUUCCUUGAAAUUGACCCGUUUGAAUGAGAGUAAUUUUCUUCAACAAACAUAUGUAAUUCACUUCUAGAUGAUUAAAGCCUCUUUUAUGCUUGAUAUGGCUAUCAGAACCUAAAAAUCAAGGUAAGGGAACAUAAGAAAUAGGCAUCAGUUUUACUAUGUUUUAAAGUUUCGGUUUGAUCAAACCUUUUCACCACUUCUUCCCUCAUUGCCUAAUAUAUCUCCCAUCCACGCAAUUAAAUAUAAAAAUGAUCCCAAGAGAAAGAAAACAAAAAUUUCCCAUUGAUUUACAUCACCAAUGGGCAACAUCAAGCAUUAGAAUCCUAAGUAAAGAGUAAGAGAGAGAUGGGUAACCCUACCCGAAAUAGCACCUGACUAACCUGCAUUUCACAUUUACAAAUCCAUUCAGCUGGUGUUUCCCGUUUCUCAUAUGAAUAUGAACCAUUUCAGUCGGUGUUCCUGAUUUUUCAUAACUUAAACAAACAGAGCAUAGUUAUUUUUCUCGAGAAGCAAACUUCAUGAUUUCCGCAAAUUUGAUGUGAUAUUUCUUUUCUUUUGCAUUUCAUAUUAAAACCAUCACUUAUUAUUUUCAAAAUCUGCUAUCGCUGAAUCAAAUUUGUUGCAUCUAAGAGACUUUUGGGGAACACUGACAUUUUUCCAAGCGAUAAAUUUGACUAC